rnacentral:rRNA from 1 species
CACUGCCGAGAAAAGCCUCUAGCUAGAAUAACGGUGCCCGUACCGCAAACCGACACAGGUAGUCAAGAUGAGAAUUCUAAGGUGAGCGAGCGAACUCUCGUUAAGGAACUCGGCAAAAUGACCCCGUAACUUCGGGAGAAGGGGUGCUCUUUGAGGUUCACGCUUCGAAGAGCCGCAGUGAAUAGGCCCAAGCGACUGUUUAUCAAAAACACAGGUCUCUGCUAAACCGUAAGGUGACGUAUAGGGGCUGACGCCUGCCCGGUGCUGGAAGGUUAAGAGGAGUGGUUAGCGCAAGCGAAGCUACGAAUCGAAGCCCCAGUAAACGGCGGCCGUAACUAUAACGGUCCUAAGGUAGCGAAAUUCCUUGUCGGGUAAGUUCCGACCCGCACGAAAGGCGUAACGAUUUGGGCACUGUCUCAACGAGAGACUCGGUGAAAUCAUAGUACCGGUGAAGAUGCCGGUUACCCGCGACAGGACGGAAAGACCCCGUGGAGCUUUACUGUAGCCUGAUAUUGAAAUUCGGUACAGUUUGUACAGGAUAGGUAGGAGCCUUAGAAGCGUGAGCGCUAGCUUACGUGGAGGCAUUGGUGGGAUACUACCCUAAUUGUAUUGGAUUUCUAACCCGCAGCACUUAUCGUGCUGGGAGACAGUGUCAGGCGGGCAGUUUGACUGGGGCGGUCGCCUCCUAAAGAGUAACGGAGGCGCUCAAAGGUUCCCUCAGAAUGGUUGGAAAUCAUUCAUAGAGUGUAAAGGCAUAAGGGAGCUUGACUGCGAGACCUACAAGUCGAGCAGGGUCGAAAGACGGACUUAGUGAUCCGGUGGUUCCGCAUGGAAGGGCCAUCGCUCAACGGAUAAAAGCUACCCCGGGGAUAACAGGCUUAUCUCCCCCAAGAGUUCACAUCGACGGGGAGGUUUGGCACCUCGAUGUCGGCUCAUCGCAUCCUGGGGCUGUAGUCGGUCCCAAGGGUUGGGCUGUUCGCCCAUUAAAGCGGUACGCGAGCUGGGUUCAGAACGUCGUGAGACAGUUCGGUCCCUAUCCGUCGUGGGCGUAGGAAAUUUGAGAGGAGCUGUCCUUAGUACGAGAGGACCGGGAUGGACAUACCUCUGGUGUACCAGUUGUCGUGCCAACGGCAUAGCUGGGUAGCUAUGUAUGGACGGGAUAAGUGCUGAAAGCAUCUAAGCAUGAAGCCCCCCU